ACGGUUACCUUGUUACGACUUAGCCCCAGUCACCGGUUUUACCUUAGGGCGCUCCUUGCGGUUGCACACUUCAGGCACUCCCGGCUUCCAUGGCUUGACGGGCGGUGUGUACAAGGCCCGGGAACGUAUUCACCGCGCCGUGGCUGAUGCGCGAUUACUAGCGAAUCCAGCUUCAUGGAGUCGGGUUGCAGACUCCAAUCCGAACUGAGACAGGCUUUGAAGUUCCGCUCUGCGUCGCCGCAUCGCUUCUCUCUGUACCUGCCAUUGUAACACGUGUGUCGCCCCGGACGUAAGGGCCGUGCUGAUUUGACGUCAUCCCCGCCUUCCUCACAGCUUGCGCCGGCAGUCUCGCCAGAGUCCCCAACUUUACUUGCUGGUAACUGGCGAUGGGGGUUGCGCUCGUUAUGGCACUUAAGCCGACACCUCACGGCACGAGCUGACGACAACCAUGCAGCACCUCGACGGAUGUCCCGUAGGACUGCCUCCUUUCAGAGACAUCCAUCCGUCGUUUGAGCCCGGGUAAGGUUCCUCGCGUAUCAUCGAAUUAAACCACAUGUUCCUCCGCUUGUGCGGGCCCCCGUCAAUUCCUUUGAGUUUCCCCGUUGCCGGCGUACUCCCCAG
rnacentral:rRNA from 1 species